rnacentral:lncRNA from 1 species
AAAUAACACUAGCAUUUUGACAUAUUUGGAGCUGUUACUGGGCCAGCUCUGUUUCCAGGCCUGCCUUUCAAUCUUUUCCUUGCUUCUGGCAUGAGUUACCAUCUCUUUUAAGAAAUUGGUUAUGCAUUUGAAAAUACACGUAGCUAUACAUACUUUAAACAUAUCAUUUAGCAAGGAUGCUCCUUAUCGGACCGUCUUUCACGUUGCUGGGAACAGAGAACACGACAGUUCCAGACUGUUUCCAAGAUUGGAUGAAGAGAUUCAAUUGACAAUGCUGUGAAGAGAGGGAUUUGGAGCAUGUUGGGGGAGGUAGUGUUGACUUCCUUGUGCAAUCUAGGAUUGAGUGGGGGAUGCAGUUGGAAGGCAAGAGAAGUAAGACUCCUCCAUCUUCCUGGUCCAGAGAAAUUAUGCUGGAUCCCCCUACCCUUAAUGAGAAAGGGGGUGUUUGUGUUUCCAGCAUCUUUGAGAUCUGAUUGCUAAUGUAGCUACCUUUAAAGAAUUCUGCUAUUUACAAUAAAAGUGAGAUCUCCCUCCUCCA